CUCCUCCGCAAGAUAGAUCUCGUGUCUUUUAAGAGCCAUCUUUUUUUAAAACUAGAGCCAACCUUUCUGCCGAAAUUUCGAUGAAAAGAACACUGUAAACGGUUAUUUCUUGUGCAUUUCUGAUCCAAACAAUUUACUUUUAUAAUAUUAUUUCACCACAUUAUAAUCCACAUUUGAAAAUGAAUUGACGGUGAUUACAAAAAUCCAAACCGAAAGUGAAACAGGAUUCAUAAUAUUUCGCUAUGUAAACAAUAUUUGUUCAGUUUGAAGAAGAUAAUCGAAUAAAAACAAUGGGGUAUUUAUGCAAUCAAGACUAUCAUUGUCGAUCAUAGUACUGGCUUAAAUGGCCCAAGAUAACAGAAUGCGCCAAAUGUCAAGUAUAUCGCUUCAUCGCUUGAAGAGAAAGCGCUUGAAAACAUCGCAAACAAUACGAUUAGUUACACCAAAAUGCAUUUCGUCAACUGCAUGUCACACUGGAGUUUGUCUGCAACAAAUUACACCUGUGCUAACGCCCAUUAAGUCACCAUUUCGUUUACCAGUGUAUAAAGUAUCUCCAACCAAAAAGCGAGCAAAGAAAAGCAUUUCUGCAAGAGCUCUUUUUGAGCAGUAGCCAUCUUGUGAAAAAUAUGCCGUGGCCUUCAUGACACUAUUGAAUCAGAUUUUCUUCUAAACAUAAACAAUGGAUCAGUCAAAACGAAAAGCGAACAGUUAAGUGGAAUCGAUAUCGUGUGAAUCUCAAAGCUAUGAGAAUGCUACAACACAAGCAGACAAUUGAACGAGAUAUAUAUUCAUAAAAAAAAUUGUACUAAUGUAUCUAAGAUAUGAAAUAGUUGUAUAUCUACAUCUCAAAUAUUAACUCUUAUCAGAUUCUACCACCUCCUUUUGAUACCAUUUUUAUGAAUUGUUAUAGACUUUAAUAAUGCUUUAAGAAUGCUUUGUGCUAUUUUAUGCCAAAUCCAAAUUAUGUUAAUGUUAUUUCAUGAAAUAAAAUUUAAUGUUAAUAAAAAAGUCAUUAUGA